rnacentral:rRNA from 1 species
GACGAACGCUGGCGGCGUGCUUAACACAUGCAAGUCGAACGAAGAGCGAUGGAAGCUUGCUUCUAUCAAUCUUAGUGGCGAACGGGUGAGUAACGCGUAAUCAACCUGCCCUUCAGAGGGGGACAACAGUUGGAAACGACUGCUAAUACCGCAUACGAUCUAAUCUCGGCAUCGAGGAUAGAUGAAAGGUGGCCUCUACAUGUAAGCUAUCACUGAAGGAGGGGAUUGCGUCUGAUUAGCUAGUUGGAGGGGUAACGGCCCACCAAGGCGAUGAUCAGUAGCCGGUCUGAGAGGAUGAACGGCCACAUUGGGACUGAGACACGGCCCAGACUCCUACGGGAGGCAGCAGUGGGGAAUCUUCCGCAAUAGACGAAAGUCUGACGGAGCAACGCCGCGUGAGUGAAGACGGCCUUCGGGUUGUAAAGCUCUGUUAAUCGGGACGAAAGGCCUUCUUGCGAAUAGUGAGAAGGAUUGACGGUACCGGAAUAGAAAGCCACGGCUAACUACGUG